GUUCGGUGCAGUCCGGGGCAGGUUCGGUGCUGUCCGGGGCAGGUUCGGUGCUGUCCGGGGAAGGUUCGGUGCAGUCCGGGGCAGGUUCGUUGCAGUCCGGGUCAGGUUCGGUGCCCCUCGGGGGAGGUUCGGUGCCCGCUCCCGGGUCGGUACCGCCCGCUGAAGGGUCCUGGGCGGCGCUGCCGGUCCGGCAGGGGUCGCUCCGGUCCCGUUCGGUCCCGUUCUGUUCCCGCCCGGUCCCGUUCGGUGCCGUUGCCGCGAACCGGCCGAGGGGGCGGGGCUUUGUUUGGGGGCGUGGUCUAGUCCUGAGGGGCGUGCUUUUAAAUGGGGGCGGGGCCUCUGCAACGGCUGCUUUGGGGGCGUGGCCUGGCGUGAUGAGUACGUCAAGGGGCGGUGCCUCCCUUUGGCGGGCGGCUCGCGCGGGGCACGCCGGGAGUUGUAGUCCGGCCCCUCACGGCGCGUACGGGCGGCAAAGGCCGCGCGCGGGGCACGCCGGGAGUUGUAGUCCGGCCCCACACGCGGUGACCGGAGCGGGAGCGGUGCCGGCAGCGGAACCGGGAGCGGUGCCGGCAUGGCGGGGCUGGAGCUGGUGUCGGACGCGGGGUUCCGGGCCGAUGGGCGCCGGCCGGACGAGCUGCGCAAGGUGCGGGCCCGGCUCGGGGUGCUGGCUCGGGCCGACGGCUCGGCCUACCUGGAGCAGGGCAACACCAAGGUGCUGGCGGCCGUGUACGGCCCGCACGAGGUGCGGGGGUCCCGCUCCAAAGCCCCCCCGGACCGAGCCCUGCUGUGCUGCCGCUGCAGCUCGGCGCCGUUCGCGGGCGGGGGCGAGAGGCGGCGCCGCCCCCCCCAGGGCGGGGGGGACCGGAGGUCGGGGGAGAGAGCGCUGCUGCUGCGGGGCGUGCUGGAGGGGGCCGUGCUGGGACAGCUGUACCCCCGGUCACAGAUCGAUGUGCACGUGCAGGUGCUGCAGGCUGACGGGGGCGAGCUGGGGGCCAGCGUGAGCGCGGCCGGGCUGGCCCUGCAGGACGCGGGCGUGGCGCUGCGCGGCCCCGUGGUGGCCGGGUCGGCCGGGCUGGCCGAGCCCCCCGCCGGGCCCCCGGUGGCCCUGAGCGACCUGAGCGCGGCCGAGGAGGCGGCCGGAGGGCCCAGGCUGGUGGUGGCCACGGUGGCCGGCAGCGGGCAGCUGGCCCUGUGCCAGCUCAGCGCCCGGCUGCACCAGGAGAGGCUCCGGCCGGUGCUGGACGCGGCCCAGGCCGCCUGCCGGGGGCUGCACGCCGUGCUGGACGGCGUGGUGAGGGCCAGGCUGCGCCAGGACACGGCCAUGGAGCAGUGACAGCGGUGGGGACAGCCCCAGGACACGGCCACAGUGACCAGUGACAGCCCCAGGACACGGCCAUGGAGCAGUGACAGCGGUGGGGACAGCCCCAGGACAUGGCCACAGUGACCAGUGACAGCCCCAGGACACGGCCACAGUGACCACAGUGACAGCCCCAGGACACGGCCAUGGAGCAGUGACAGCGGUGGGGACAGCCCCAGGACAUGGCCACAGUGACCAGUGACAGCCCCAGGACACGGCCAUGGAGCAGUGACCACAGGGACAGCCCCAGGACAUGGCCACA